rnacentral:rRNA from 1 species
UACGAAGGGGGGCUAGCGUUGCUCGGAAUCACUGGGCGUAAAGGGUGCGUAGGCGGGUUCUUAAGUCAGAGGUGAAAUCCUGGAGCUCAACUCCAGAACUGCCUUUGAUACUGAGAGUCUUGAGUUCGGGAGAGGUGAGUGGAACUGCGAGUGUAGAGGUGAAAUUCGUAGAUAUUCGCAAGAACACCAGUGGCGAAGGCGGCUCACUGGCCCGAUACUGACGCUGAGGUGCGAAAGCGUGGGGAGCAAACAGG